rnacentral:rRNA from 1 species
AUUGAACGCUGGCGGCAGGCCUAACACAUGCAAGUCGAACGAGUGGCGGACGGGUGAGUAAUGUCUGGGAAACUGCCUGAUGGAGGGGGAUAACUACUGGAACCUGUUGCUAAUACCGCAUACCAUCGGAUGUGCCCAGAUGGGAUUAGCUAGUAGGUGGGGUAAAGGCUCACCUAGGCAACGAUCCCUAGCUGGUCUGAGAGGAUGACCAGCCACACUGGAAUUGAGAGACGGCCCAGACUCCUACGGGAGGCAGCAGUGGGGAAGAUUGCACAAUGGGCGCAAGCCUGAUGCAGCCAUGCCGCGUGUAUGAAGAAGGCCUUCGGGUUGUAAAGUACUUUCAGCGGGGAGGCGUUACCCGCAGAAUAAGCACCGGCUAACUCCGUGCCAGCAGCCGCGGUAAUUC